ACGCCACUGAGUCCUGACUUCUGAGAAAACCAUGGGGGGCAAAGAGUUAAUAAGAUAACAGCAGCACCUCUUCUUAAAAGCGGACAAGCGCCGAAACUCAUUGCUGGGCGAGCAAUCAGUGGCUGAGAGAUGUGGCUGUCCAACAUCCACUGGGCUUCUACCAUAGACACACUUAGGUUCCUCAUCGGGGUGGGCCUGUAGCGAUGAUGCGAUAGGUGAUCUAUGUUGAAGACAGUCGACUUAUUUCGUUAAUAUCGUCUAUCCACAUUUCCAGGAUUGAGUGAUCUUCGUCAAGCUACAUCGUGCAUACCUGCCUUUGCCAACAACAUCUUCACGUCGAACUUCGAAGAUCAUGCUAUAGCGCCUUUGCUGGAAACGUCUCCACGAUACGGCAACAGAACAGUGCAACUUUAAAGGUCACCUUGAAGCUUGAUUCUACAUCAUCAGAAACCUUCACAAAUCACACGUAUUUUCGUGGCAACGUGGAACUGCAGGAACUGAAUUGAAGCCGUUGCUCAAGACGCCGUCUCAGAGACCUCGCCUAAAAAAGCAUUCUUGAAAGGCCUGAAACUGAUCUUCAGCACAAUGGCUACAUCUAGAUCAGUUAAAAAGAAUAUGCAGGAAGAGAUGUCACCCAAAUGGAAGGACAUACGUGAAAAAAUGCAUCAGGCGAUAGACGACAAGGACUAUCUUCAAGUACAGCAGUGCCUCCAUACUGUGGCUCAUCUCAGGUUAUGGUUACAUCCAAGUACAGGUGAAUCAGCCAUGUACAGAGCAAUCGAAAAGAGCUCAUUCUACAUUUAUGGAUUGCUUCUGUCUCACAGUUGUGAGUUCAGAAAUGAGGAGGAGGAAGAAUGCUUGGAGCGUUUGAACAAGACCGAGGAAUCUGAACUUCGGCGACAACUAUUCUUCGUGACGAUAUAUGGAGACUCUUAACUAGGGUCCCUCGAAUCUCGGACGCGGAAGUAAUAAGACGGAACACUUAACGAUGGCAUGGCGAUAUGAACGGUACGACUACACGAAAGACGGCUGAUGCAGUGGAAAUGUCCGCGGUGCGACCAGAAGGCAGAAUGGCGGACGGGAAUAAGCGAACAGAAAAGCUUCUGCGGGGAUGGAUUAAAAACUAGAGGCGGACAGACGAAUAAAAGGGGCAGCAGAGAAAGAAGUAAUCUCGUGACGCGAACAAUGUCCUCUAUGUUGGACUAAAUUUUUUUUUGUCUUGCCUCGUUAUGGAUUUUUGAUACACACGCGAUUAAAACAGCAUGUGUUACGAGAAGCACGAAUAAAGUUGCUGGUUAUUUCAACACUA